AAUAUUAAUUACGAAAGCAAAAAAUUAUGGCGGUAUUUUAAGCUUUUCAGAGGAAUUUGCUCUUUAAUGGAUAAAACACCUAGAUCUUACUUAAAUUAGCGCUUUUCAGUUUGUAUACCACUAUUAUAAUAAUAAUUUAUUAUUAUUAUUAAUAUUCUUGCAAUUAGAAAAAAAUUAAGUCAAGGGGCAGCAUAAAUUUAUGAAUGAAGUGAAUUACAUUUCUUUUAAGAAAAAAAAAUUGAAAUAAAACGUUUAGGAUGGAUAGUAAAAUUAAAAUACAAAG
rnacentral:rRNA from 1 species